GCCACUGUAGUUCAGCGGUAGAACACAUCCUCUCUGAGGGUGAGACCUGGGUUCGAAUCCCAGCGGUGGCA